AAUAGAUACCCCGGUAGUCCACGCCCUAAACGAUGCUCACUAGGUGUUGGGGAAGCGAUUCCUUGGUACCGUAGCUAACGCGUGAAGUGAGCCGCCUGGGGAGUACGGCCGCAAGGUUAAAACUCAAAGGAAUUGACGGGGACCCGCACGAGCGGUGGAUGAUGUGGAUUAAUUCGAUGCAACGCGAACAACCUUACCUACCCUUGACAUGUCCGGAAGCCUGCUGAAAGGCGGGGUGCUCGAAAGAGAACCGGAACACAGGUGCUGCAUGGCUGUCGUCAGCUCGUGUCGUGAGAUGUUGGGUUAAGUCCCGCAACGAGCGCAACCCUUGUCCCUAGUUGCUACGCAAGGGCACUCUAGGGAGACUGCCGGUGACAAACCGGAGGAAGGUGGGGAUGACGUCAAGUCCUCAUGGCCCUUAUGGGUAGGGCUUCACACGUCAUACAAUGGACGGUACAGAGGGUUGCCAACCCGGCGAGGGGGAGCCAAUCCCAGAAAGCCGUUCGUAGUCCGGAUCGCAGUCUGCAACUCGACUGCGUGAAGUCGG
rnacentral:rRNA from 1 species